GUCAUCUAUUUCAUCCAAGUGUUUGCAUCUAACACAAUCACUGCAUUCAGUUUUGAGAUUUGUCAUCAAACAAACUGCACCCUUGUCUUUGAGAGUUCAGGCCCUGGUCCGAGAGGAUUCAAUCCUGUGGGUAUGAACUGCUUGGUAAGAACACUACCCAAAGCCAGCAGCAUGGGCCUUAACAGACCUUGCUACAGAUGUCCUUGUGUGCCCGCUGCGGCCAGUGGAGCGCUUCCAUGACCUGCGUCCUGAUGAAGUGGCCGAUUUGUUUCAGACGACCCAGAGAGUCGGGACAGUGGUGGAAAAACAUUUCCAUGGGACCUCUCUCACCUUUUCCAUGCAGGAUGGCCCCGAAGCCGGACAGACUGUGAAGCAGCAGAUUUGUACUAUCCUGGACAAGAUUG
rnacentral:lncRNA from 1 species